GGAGGAGUGGCAGAGUGGUCGAAUGCACCGGUCUUGAAAACCGGCGUACGCGAAAGCGUACCGUGGGUUCGAAUCCCACCUCCUCCGCCA
rnacentral:tRNA from 1 species